UUAUUUAAAUACUGUUUUCCUUACUGAGUAUAUGGAACUCACCAUUUUCAUGCUUCUCCAGAUGAGGAAGAUAAUAAGGAACCGAUCGCUGACCUACCCCUUGAAGUUUAUGAGAAUCCCUGGUUUCACAAACUUUGAGUGCAUGACUUGUCUCGCACUCUGAUGAGUUCAUUCGCAUAGUGAAAGAAGUUGAUUUUGAUAUUUUGUAUUUUGUUGCCACUUAUGGCCUCAAGUAUAUAUGUGUAAUUGGAACU
rnacentral:lncRNA from 1 species